AACCCAAGAUGAUGGCACCUUCUCAAUAAGUCCUUGUAUCUCUCCCAUGCAUCAUAUAAUGUCUCUAAAUCAAUCUGGGAAAAAGAAGAAAUAUCAUUCUUCAACUU
rfam:Gossypium hirsutum cultivar TM-1 chromosome 9, whole genome shotgun sequence